rnacentral:rRNA from 1 species
UCCUACGGGAGGCAGCAGUGGGGAAUAUUGGACAAUGGGCGAAAGCCUGAUCCAGCCAUGCCGCGUGUGUGAAGAAGGUCUUCGGAUUGUAAAGCACUUUAAGUUGGGAGGAAGGGCAGUUACCUAAUACGUGAUUGUUUGACGUACCGACAGAAUAGACCGCCCUGGCCCC